GAUGAACGCUAGCGGCAGGCUUUAACACAUGCAAGUCGAGGGGCAGCGCGAAUGUUAGCAAUAACAUUUGGCGGCGACCGGCGCAAGGGUGCGUAACGCGUGAGCAACUUGCCCGUUUCUGGGGAAUAACCGGUGGAAACGCCGACUAAUACCUGAUGGUGUUCAAAUUCCGCAUGUUAUUUGAACUAAAGAUUUAUCGGUAACGGAUGGGGAUGCGUGACAUUAGGUAGAUGGCGGGGUAACGGCCCACCAUGCCUACGAUGUCUAGGGGUUCUGAGAGGAAGGUCCCCCACACUGGAACUGAGACACGGUCCAGACUCCUACGGGAGGCAGCAGUGAGGAAUAUUGGUCAAUGGACGAGAGUCUGAACCAGCCAAGUAGCGUGCAGGAAGACGGCCCUCUGGGUUGUAAACUGCUUUUAGUUGGGAAUAAAAGAGGGACGUGUCCCUAAUUGUAUGUACCAUCAGAAAAAGGACCGGCUAAUUCCGUG
rnacentral:rRNA from 1 species